GAUGAACGCUGGCGGCGUGCCUAACACAUGCAAGUCGAACGGAGUUUUAUGAAGUUUUCGGACGGAAUAAAACUUAGUGGCGGACGGGUGAGUAACGCGUGGGUAACCUGCCUCAUACAGGGGGAUGACAGUUGGAAACGGCUGCUAAAACCGCAUAAGCAUACAUUGUCGCAUGGCAGAGUGUGAAAAUAUUUAUAGGUAUGAGAUGGGCCCGCGUCUGAUUAGCUAGUUGGUAAGGUAACGGCUUACCAAGGCGACGAUCAGUAGCCGGCUUGAGAGAGUGACCGGCCACAUUGGGACUGAGACACGGCCCAAACUCCUACGGGAGGCAGCAGUGGGGAAUAUUGCACAAUGGGGGAAACCCUGAUGCAGCGACGCCGCGUGAGUGAAGAAGUAUUUCGGUAUGUAAAGCUCUAUCAGCAGGGAAGAAAAUGACGGUACCUGACUAAGAAGCCCCGGCUAACUACGUGCCAGCCGCCGCGGUAA
rnacentral:rRNA from 1 species